rnacentral:rRNA from 1 species
AUUGAACGCUGGCGGCAUGCCUUACACAUGCAAGUCGAACGGUAACGCGGGGGCAACCCUGGCGACGAGUGGCGAACGGGUGAGUAGCGCAUCGGAACGUGCCCAGUAGUGGGGGAUAGCCCGGCGAAAGCCGGAUUAAUACCGCAUACGACCUACGGGUGAAAGCGGGGGACCGCAAGGCCUCGCGCUAUUGGAGCGGCCGAUGCCCGAUUAGCCAGUUGGUGAGGUAAAGGCUCACCAAGGCGACGAUCGGUAGCUGGUCUGAGAGGACGACCAGCCACACUGGGACUGAGACACGGCCCAGACUCCUACGGGAGGCAGCAGUGGGGAAUUUUGGACAAUGGGGGAAACCCUGAUCCAGCCAUGCCGCGUGCGGGAAGAAGGCCUUCGGGUUGUAAACCGCUUUUGGCAGGAACGAAACGGCGCGCGCUAAUAACGCGCGCUAAUGACGGUACCUGCAGAAUAAGCACCGGCUAACUACGUGCCAGCAGCCGCGGUAAAAC